rnacentral:snRNA from 1 species
AACCUUGCGCAGUGGCAAUUUCUUAACCAUUGAAGAUCUCCUGAAGUGCGAUUAUUGCUAGUUGAUACUGCAGAAUUAAUACCGGAAGUGGCUAACCUCCAUAGUCAUUUUUCCGUGUAUUUCCGUGACUUUGCUGGUGUUACGAA